rnacentral:rRNA from 1 species
CCCUUAGAUGUUCUGGGCCGCACGCGCGCUACACUGACGAUGGCAACGAGUUUUUCCUUCGCCGAAAGGUGUGGGUAAUCUUUUGAAACAUCGUCGUGCUGGGGAUAGAUCAUUGCAAUUUUUGAUCUUGAACGAGGAAUUCCUAGUAAGCGCGAGUCAUCAGCUCGCGUUGAUUACGUCCCUGCCCUUUGUACACACCGCCCGUCGCUCCUACCGAUUGAAUGGUUUAGUGAGGACUCCUGAUUGGCGCCGCCGCCCCGGCAACGGAGCAGCGGACUGCCGAAAAGUUGUUCAAACUUGAUCAUUUAGAGGAAGUAAAAGUCGUAACA